ACCACUCUCGUCCCCAUCAUCACUGCCACAGGGCUCUUGUAGCAUCUCCCAACUCUCCUGACUCAGUCAGCUGAGCCUGCUGUCCCUUUUAGGGGAUUUACAGGAGAUGCCCUGUCUUUCUGAGAGAAAAAUGGGAUUUUCCAGACUGAUUGAAGUAAUCUUCAGCCUUUACAAUGCAGCUCCAGAUUUCAACUACAAAUCCCAAGACGAGCCUACUCUCUCCAACCUACCAAAAUGAUGGAGAAGAUGUCAACCUGCAUGCCACCAAAUGCAGGAAAUGUACUGACAGACAGCUGAAAAGUUCAUGAGAAGCCUGGAAAAAAUUGGGCACAACUUAGAGGAGUGGAAAUGGCUCGAUUGGAAAAGAAAGCUGCCAAGUCCCUGUGAUCAGUACACAAGCCUUGCAGGGAGAGGGAAGCGAAGAUUCUUUCUAUACUUUGAGUUUUCCCAAUUGUCCUCCAAAGAAAGUCCCACUUUUCUGGGAUGUAGCUGGAAUUCACCUAUCACACACAGAAUAACACAUCAAAUCCCCUUUUGGGAUAUGGACUCAACAUUAGCACACCUGAACAUCUAUAUUCUGAAAAGAAUUCGGAAAUCUUUGUCACUCCAGCUCCUGCUGACUUCUAUUUUCUGAUAAUUUCCAAAUUCUGAAGAACUCUGUCUGCUUCUGACUCAUCCUACAGCUUAUAGUCAUUUUCCUCCUCCUCCGACCUCUGUGUGACAUACCUUCCUUGGUGCUGCCUAAAGAUUUAUCUUCUUUUAAUCAUCAGCCCUCUGGAAAACACAGAUACGUCUUUAUUCACACAAAGAAGUACGGACGUUUUAUUUCAGACCUCAGUACUCAGACAAUACACAGCAGCCAGGUGUCUCUGUGCUUCCCCAGGAUGAACGUGUAACUAUUUCUUGAGUAUACUCCACAUGAUCAUAAAAUGGGGCAACAGAGGCAAGAGGUGAAGAAACACAUCUGAGAGCAUGAAGUCUGCAAAGGUCUACAUGACAAAAGCAUGAAUGUAAAUGCUUAUGUGAAAUGCAAGAAGCUCUGUGCAAGCUUCGCAGUCCUCCUUUUGCUGUCCUUUAAAAAUAAGGCUAUUUUGAGAGCUUAGGGGCUCUGUAGUAUCUAUUGUUUGUAGAGUUGAUUGUUUAUUUAAACAAGAUAUACACCUACAUCAUCUACUUGCAGCCAUAAGAGUGUUUUCAUCGACUUGUUAUUAUUUACCAUUCUGCUUGGAUUUUCCAAAUGCCAUUUCCCCAAGCCAUGCAACAUACUUUUUGGAUCAAGCACACUCAAACUUCCAUUAAAUAUAAGCAGUCCUGAACUAAACAGCUGAAUGCAAACCCUUUCACUCCUGCUCCCUCCUCACUGAUAUCUCCUGAGUAGAAGAGGCCAAAGUUGCUCCCCCAUCAUCAUGUCUGUAUUUGUUUCUCUCCACCUUCUAAAUUUCAGCCUAGCACAAGUUGACCUAUCUAUUCCAGCAAUAUCCACCCAACCAGGCAUUUUAACAAUCCUAUUUUAUAUUUCUUCUACCUGCAAGCAGUAUCAGCACACUUUUGAAUCAUGAGAUUAACAUCAACCAUAAAAAAGGAAAAUAAAAUGCAAUUUAUUUGUAUGUGCUGCCCACAUAACAACAUACCUCCUUUGUCUAAUCAGCUCUGGAGGAGGGGGGAAAGGAGGUCAGGAGGUGAGAACUGAGAGGAUGGAGCUCAGUGGGAUGGAGGAGAGCAGAAAGCUCCCCAGGCUGGGGCAGCACAAGUGAGAUACUGUGGAACCGCAGGAAGGGGAAAAGGAGAGACUAGAGGUCAGAUCCUGGUGGCUCUGCACAUGAAACCCACACUACGGUUGGUGUUCUGUGCUCCCAGCUCAACGCGUGAGCUGCAAACCUGGGACACCAGCAUCUCACGGUGGGCACAGUCCCUGCCCUGACAUCAUCCUGCAUAGCACAGCAAGAAAGCUAAAAGGUUGAAGAGGAGGAAAAAUGAAACUGAACAACAGCCUCCCUCCUGCUUUCUGGCCUCGUAAAUCCUUGCUACCAGAAGAGAAGUCGGAUGGAACAAAGUGUAAAUAAAGUGUGAGGUGAGUUUUAACCAUUUCUCAGGGCAAGGAGAAUGAAAGCUAAACAGACUGCACCUCUCCACCCUCAUUGAGAUGCAAACCACACAAAGGCAAAAAAUUCAUCUUGAUGCACUGGUAGUUAUGCAUGUAAAUUCCAGUGCGAGGAGCAAGAUAAGCCCAAAGAAUGCAGUUUCUCUCACCAGAAAGAUUCAGCUUUGUGUACAACGCUGUAGUUUAACUACUGUAACCAUCAGGAUGACUCUGUUUAAUACCAAUAAAGUGAGAAAUGUGUUUGCCUCACGCUAAACAAGCACAAAAGCUGGAGCAACAAAUUCUCACCACCGAGAAACACCCAUACAUGAAACAGCAUCCAACUUUGCUUAAAAAAAAAAAAAAAGAAAAAAUCCUUUCUUUUUCUCCGUUUCAGGUUCUUCGCUCCUAACUGGAGCAGCAGAGAGGAGCCUGAAAUGAGAGCCCACCUGU